UCUCUUCUCACUUCAUUUCAUUCAUUUGAUCUUCCAUCACUGAUACCCUUUCUUCUAGUUGAUCGAAUCAGCUACUGAAGCUUGUGCAUUCGUCACGUAGUUCUUGUGCCAUGGUUUUCAGCUCCAUCAGGUCCUUUAAGGACUUAUCUGCAUUGGUGAUUCUAGUUAGCCAUUCGUCUAAUCUUUUUUCAAGGUUUUUAACUUCUUUGUGUUGGGUUUGAACUUCCUCCUUUAGCUCGGAGAAAUUCGAUCAUCUGUAGCCUUCUUCUCUCAACUUGUCAAAGUCAUUCUCCAUCCAGCUUUGUUCCAUUGCUGGUGAGGAGCUGCAUUCCUUUGGAGGAGGAGAGAUGCUCUGAUUUUUUGAAUUUUCAGUUUUUCUGCUCUGUUUUUUCCCCUCUUUGUGGUUUUAUCUACCUUUGGUUUUGAUGAUGGUGAUGUACAGAUGGGGUUUUGGUGUGGAUGUCCUCUCUGUUUGUUAGUUUUCCUUCUAACAGUCAGGACCCUCAGCUGCAGGUCUGUUAGAGUUUUCUGGAGGUCCACUCCAGACCCUUUUUGCCUGGGUAUCAGCAGUGGAGGCUGCAGAACAGCAAAUAUUGGUGAACAGCAAAUGUUGCUGCCUGAUCGUUCCUCUGGAAGUUUCAUCUCAGAGGGAUACCCGGCCGUGUGAGGUGUCAAUCUGCCCCUACUGGGGGGUGCCUCCCAGUUAGGCUACUUGGGGGUCAGGGAACCACUUGAGGAGGCAGUCUGUCCGUUCUCAGAUCUCAAGCUCCGUGCUGGGAGAACCACUGCUGUCUUCCAAGCUGUCAGACAGGGACAUUUAAGUCUGCAGAGGUUUCUGCUGCCUUUUGUUUGGCUAUGCCCUGCCCCCAGAGGUGGAGUCUACAGAGGCAGGCAGGCCUCCUUGAGCUGCGGUGAGCUCCACCCAGUUCGAGCUUUGCAGCCGCUUUGUUUACCUACUCAAGCCUCCGCAAUGGUGGGCGCCCCUCCCCCAGCCUCGCUGCCACGUUGCAGUUUGAUCUCAGACUGCUGUGCUAGCAAUCAGUGAGGCUCCGUGGGUGUAGGACCCUGUGAGCCAUGCGCGGGAUAUAAUCUCCUGGUGUGCUGUUUGCUAAGACUGUCGGAAAAGUGCAGUAUUAGGGUGGGAGUGACCCGAUUUUCCAGGUGCUGUUUGUCCCCACUUCCCUUGGCUAGGAAAGGGAAUUCUCUGACUCCUUGUGGUUCCCGGGUGAGGCGAUGCCUCGCCCUGCUUCGGCUCAUGCUCGGUGCUCUGCACCCACUGUCCUGCACCCACUGUCUGACAAUCCCCAGUGAGAUGAACCCGGUACCUCAGUUGGAAAUGGAGAAAUCACCCAUCUUCUGUGUCGCUCAUGCUGGGAGCUGUAGACUGGAGCUGUUCCUAUUCGGCCAUCUUGGAACCACCCCAGAACAUGGCAAUGGCUACAAGCUUGGAGUCUUUGGGAUUAAGCUUAAGUCAAGGCAGUUAUGUCUUCAGCAAAGCCUAGUUAAUUUUUUAGACCCUGAGGGCAGUUAGAGCGGAGUCCAAGGCCACAGGGGAAGGGGAUAAGAAAAAAAUACAUAGAGGAAAUGAUAAUCAGAUUUCAUGAAUACAGAGUAAAAACACAGAUCAUAAUGCUGUUAUUCAGUCUCCUUUCCACUGCUCAGCAUUUGAGAUCACUGGGAACCUCAGGACUUCUUCCACAAGCACUGUAUUUGAAGAACACAUUUUCUUUUUAAAGUAUCAUUUUAAAGAAGUAUGGCAGUGCCAACAUAGGCAAAAAUACUUCCAGAUUUACAGGUAUUGGGAGAAUGAUCACUUCAACUCUGCAGAAUGUGCAGGGCAUUAUAAAGUCAUUCAGAUAUUUACCAAGCACCUACUGUGUGCCAGUUGCUAUGCUAGACAAUGGAUUCCUUGUCUAGCCUGGCUUGUCUACAUAGGAUGAAUGAAGAAACUUGCAAAAGCAACUAUAAUCACAACAGAUUUAGCAGCGCCUGAGUCUGUUCCCUGUGCAGCUUAUUGUGUUCACCCCAGAAUUCAAAUACAGCGGCUUCAUCCUAUGAAUGAGACUUCAUCAGAAAACUUAAGCGUAAGAAGCACAAUACCUGUGGCACACCCCGCCACCUGCUGUCUGUCUCCUGUUGUUCCUUCAGCAAGAGGCUGUAGAUCAGAACAGGUGUUUGUUGUAAGGCCAGGACACGAUGUGCAAUUUCCAACUAAUUGAUAAUGGGAAAGCCCAGAAACACGCCCCAGGGGACUGGGGGAGUGGUCGGCUGGUAUUGGCCAAGAUUUCCAGCACCCUGCUAGAAACUCACCAGUAGCAGCCUGGGCCACAAACUAGGCUUUUGAAGCCAACAUUAAGAAAAACAUGAAGGCUUUGGAAGAAGAUGCAUUUGCUUAAGUCUGCCUUCACAAGGGAGCUCCUGACUUCCCUCUGUGACUGUUGAGUCUUAGUACCUGACUCCUGGGCCCAAAAUUGAGGGGAAAGAGGGCACAGGGUCACAACACUGGGCUUGGAGGGGAAGGGGAGAAGAUAGCCAUCAGAGGCCAGGAUUCUUGCCAUCCUUCGGAAACACGCCCUAGCCAGAGGAGGUGCGCUCCCUGCAGUUGGAAUCUCCGGCUGAGGCGAUGAGAGCCCGCCGGGCUCACCUGGCGGUAAGGCCAUCGCAGGUGCGCCUCCUGCAAAGCCUCGAGCUGCACACGCGCCCAGGGGAAAGACGUGACGUUGCUGCACCUGUGGCUAGUCCCUGCGCCUGUGUGUGAGACCUGAGUGGGGCUGUGGAGACCCGAGAGGCUGUGGCUCUUGAGGUGGGUCGGUGGUGGACGUGGCCUUUGCUUCUGUUCUGACCUUGUAGCCUUGGGGCCCCUUGAGACCUUGGAGAACACCUUGCUCACCGCCUCCCUCCGACUGCAGCCAUGUGGACCUAGAGAUGAGGGCAGAGGAUCAGGACACGGAACAAGAACUU
rnacentral:lncRNA from 1 species